rnacentral:rRNA from 1 species
CGACCGGCGCACGGGUGAGUAACACGUAUCCAACCUGCCGAUGACUCGGGGAUAGCCUUUCGAAAGAAAGAUUAAUACCCGAUGGCAUAGUUCUUCCGCAUGGUAGAACUAUUAAAGAAUUUCGGUCAUCGAUGGGGAUGCGCUCCAUUAGCUUGUUGGCGGGGUAACGGCCCACCAAGGCAUCGAUGGAUAGGGGUUCUGAGAGGAAGGUCCCCCACAUUGGAACUGAGACACGGUCCAAACUCCUACGGAAGGCAGCAG